CACGUAGGGCGCAAGCGUUGUCCGGAAUUAUUGGGCGUAAAGAGCGUGUAGGCGGCCUGACAGGUCUGCUGUGAAAACUCGAGGCUCAACCUCGAGAUGUCGGCGGAAACCAUUUGGCUAGAGUCCGGAAGAGGAGAGUGGAAUUCCUGGUGUAGCGGUGAAAUGCGCAGAUAUCAGGAAAAACACCAAUGGCGAAAGCAGCUCUCUGGGACGGUACUGACGCUGAGACGCGAAAGCGUGGGGAGCGAACAGG
rnacentral:rRNA from 1 species